UGUCCCUGCCCGCCCCGGCGGUGUCCCUGCCCGCCUCGGCGGUGUCCCUGCCCGCCUCGGCUCCUGCCGCACUCCGGUGCGUGUCCUUCCCGGGGUGUUGCGCACACGCCGCCUCUGCAGGGUGGGAAGUGCCUUCGGCUGUGUGAUGUAUCCAGUCCAUGGAAACAAGGAGUGAAAACUUGAUUAGAAAUAUGAGGAGAGACACAAUACAUAAAAACUGCCAGUACAGCACUUGGAACUUUUUGUCCUUAAAAAUCUCAGAGCCCAGAUAAGCAUUGAGGCAUUUUGUUUUUUAACUAAUAAGUGAGUGGCCUCUGUCCUUGCAGUGCCCUAACCACCAAGCUACUGUUUGACACAACUUACAUGACAUCUUGUUCUGUAGUGUCUAUGCCUUUGAUUCAAUAAUUUAUAUCACGUUUUUACCAUGUUUUCAUUCUUUCUCAGGUAGCCUCCUGCUCUUUGCUGUAAUGCCAGAUCCAAGCCAAAUGCAUGUCUUCAGGUUCUGCUAUUGCUAAUGCAGCUGCAGAAGUUAACCUCAUCAGGCUGUAUCAUGUCUGCUACCUAUAGCAAAGUUCUGCAUGUUAUAUAUUGGUUUGCCUACAGCAGCUACAUGAACUUCUGUAGUCAUUUUGUCACAUUAAGAAUAACAGCAAGUCAGUACUUUUUAGAGACAAGAAAAAAAUCCAAGGAUAUAAUAAAUCUUACAUAUUCGGAUAUACCAUUUACUCUUCCAGUGUUUGGGUGCCUGUUCUGCCAUUUCAAGAUGAUAAAAAUAGGAGCUUUUUGCUCCCUACUUGCUCUCCAGGUGCAGGCAGGUAGCAAACUGCAGGCAACAUGAGGGGUCCUGGCAGCCCAUGGCUUGCUUUUGCCACGGUCUGUGAAUUAUGAAAGUGUGGGAGGAUGAAAGAAUAUUUUGGUGAGAUCUUGGCACAAACAUGCAGUCAUGUUGCAGAAUGCACAGCCUUUCCUGCUCUACACCAGUCCCAGUGCCCUGUGCUUCCAUACACAUUAAAUAUGGGAUACACCACUAUUUCUAGUCAUAGGACUGACACACAUUUAAUGAUACCUGACAAGUAAAGUAGAGGCUUAGAUUUUGCAAGUGUCUCUUUUAAAAACUGAACAGCUUAUCCCUAUGGAAAAGUUAGGGAUAGGAAAAUACAGCGCAUCUGUAUUCAUCAUGAGCAUCAAUAUGAAGUUCAUAGGACUAUAUGCCUACACCUUUUCCAAAAGUAUAUGCCUUUGGUGGGGAAAUCCUAGGAAUUCUAACUGAAAAUUGAGAGAAAAAGUCUUUCUAUCCAUAGGUUUGUGUUGGAUUUCAGUUUUUUUGGUAUAUCACUGUUGUCAAACUUUUCAAAUUAGUACACAUAAGUAGAAUUGUACAAACAUUCAAAAUUGCAAAUUUACUAUUCUUCUGAACCAGUGUCAUGCAAGAGGCACAUUCAUUAAUCAGCAAUGGCUUAUCAUACUCAAACGAGAAUUCAGACUAUUGAACCUGGUUUUUUGACUUGCAGGAACCUAUUUCUCAGCAGUUUGUAUUAAAUUGGUUUUCCUUUGUAGAUGAGGCCAAGUAAGCUCUGUUUUCACACUGUGGUUACUGUUACAGCUUGUUCUUUCUAAACAUACAAAACCAACUGUUCAUUACAGUGCACAGCUUGUUAAUAAUCUCUUCCAAAAUAUUGCAAUAAAAUAUGACCCACUGGUGGAAUGAAA